CCUACGGGUGGCAGCAGUGAGGAAUAUUGGUCAAUGGACGAGAGUCUGAACCAGCCAAGUAGCGUGAAGGAUGACUGCCCUAGGGGUUGUAAACUUCUUUUAUAAAGGAAUAAAACGAGGCAAGUGUGCCUUUUUGCAUGUACUUUAUGAAUAAGGAUCGGCUAACACCGUGCCAGCAGCCGCGGUAAUACGGAGGAUCCGAGCGUUAUCCGGAUUUAUUGGGUUUAAAGGGAGCGUAGAUGGGUUGUUAAGUCAGUUGUGAAAGUUUGCGGCUCAAUCGUAAAAUUGCAAUUGAUACUGGCAGUCUUGAGUACAGGUGAGGUAGGCGGAAUUCGUGGUGUAGCGGUGAAAUGCUUAGAUAUCACGAAGAACCCCGAUUGCGAAGGCAGCUUACUAAACUGUGACUGACAUUGAUGCUCGAAAGUGUGGGGAUCAAACAGGAUUAGAUACCCUGGUAGUC
rnacentral:rRNA from 1 species